rnacentral:rRNA from 1 species
GGAGUUAGCCGGUGCUUCUUCUGUGAGUGAUGUCCUUCCUGCCGGCUAUUAACCCGCAGGCCUUCUUCCUCACUGAAAGUGCUUUACAACCCGAAGGCCUUCUUCACACACGCGGCAUGGCUGGAUCAGGGUUGCCCCCAUUGUCCAAUAUUCCCCACUGCUGCCUCCCGUAGGAGUCUGGGCCGUGUCUCAGUCCCAGUGUGGCUGAUCAUCCUCUCAGACCAGCUACGGAUCGUCGCCUUGGUGAGCCGUUACCUCACCAACCAGCUAAUCCGACAUAGGCUCAUCCGAUAGCGCGAGGCCCGAAGGUCCCCCGCUUUCCCCCGUAGGGCGUAUGCGGUAUUAGCCUGGGUUUCCCCAGGUUAUCCCCCACUACCGGGCAGAUUCCUAUGCAUUACUCACCCGUCCGCCGCUCGCCACCAGGGAGCAAGCUCCCCGUGCUGCCGCUCUACUUGCAUGUGUUAGGCCUGCCGCCAGCGUUCAAUCUGAGCCAUGAUCAAACUCUGA